CACAGAUAAAAAUACUUACACACACAGACAGACAUACUGGCACACACAGACAUACUGACACAUACACGGACAUACUGACACACACACAGACAUAUUGACACAGAAACACACUGACAGACAUACUGACAGACGCACUGACACAAACACACACACAGACAUACUGAUACACACACAUUGACAGACAUGCUGACACACACUGAGAG